rnacentral:rRNA from 1 species
CCUACGGGAGGCAGCAGUCGAGAAUCAUUCACAAUGGGGGAAACCCUGAUGGUGCGACGCCGCGUGGGGGAAUGAAGGUCUUCGGAUUUUAAACCCCUGUCAUGUGGGAGCAAAUUAAAAAGAUAGUACCACAAGAGGAAGAGACGGCCAACCCGGUGCCAGCAGCCGCGGUAAUACGGAGGUCUCAAGCGUUGUUCGGAAUCACGGGGCGUAAAGCGGGCGUAGGCUGUUUCGUAAGUCGUGUGUGAAAGGCGCGGGCUCAACCCGCGGACGGCACAUGAUACUGCGAGACUAGAGUGAUGGAGGGGGAACCGGAAUUCUCGGUGUAGCAGUGAAAUGCGUAGAUAUCGAGAGGAACACUCGUGGCGAAGGCGGGUUCCUGGACAUUAACUGACGCUGAGGCACGAAGGCCAGGGGAGCGAAAGGGAUUAGAUACCCCUGUAGUC